AUUGAACGCUAGCGGCAGGCUUAACACAUGCACGUCGAGCGAGCGGCGGACGGGUGAGUAAUGUCUGGGAAACUGCCUGAUGGAGGGGGAUAACAACUGGAAACGGUAGCUAAUACCGCAUAACAUCAGCUGUGCCCAGAUGGGAUGAGCUAGUAGGUGGGGUAAUGGCUCACCUAGGCGACGAUCCCUAGCUGGUCUGAGAGGAUCAACAGCCACACGGGAACUGAGGCACGGUCCAUGCUCCUACGAGAGGCAGCAGUGGGGAAUAUUGCACAAUGGGCGCAAGCCUGAUGCAGCAAUGCCGCGUGUGUUAAGAAGGCCUUCGGGUUGUAAAGCACUUUCAGCGAGGAGGCGUUACUCGCAGAAGAAGCACCGGCUAACUCCGUGCCAGCAGCCGCGGUAAUAC
rnacentral:rRNA from 1 species